AGUGAACGCUGGCGGUAGGCCUAACACAUGCAAGUCGAACGGCAGCACAGUAAGAGCUUGCUCUUACGGGUGGCGAGUGGCGGACGGGUGAGGAAUACAUCGGAAUCUACUUUUUCGUGGGGGAUAACGUAGGGAAACUUACGCCAAUACCGCAUACGACCUACGGGUGAAAGCAGGGGAUCUUCUGACCUUGCGCGAUUGAAUGAGCCGAUGUCGGAUUAGCUAGUUGGCGGGGUAAAGGCCCACCAAGGCGACGAUCCGUAGCUGGUCUGAGAGGAUGAUCAGCCACACUGGAACUGAGACACGGUCCAGACUCCUACGGGAGGCAGCAGUGGGGAAUAUUGGACAAUGGGCGCAAGCCUGAUCCAGCCAUACCGCGUGGGUGAAGAAGGCCUUCGGGUUGUAAAGCCCUUUUGUUGGGAAAGAAAAGCAGCAGGUUAAUACCCCGCUGUUCUGACGGUACCCAAAGAAUAAGCACCGGCUAACUUCGUG
rnacentral:rRNA from 1 species